CUAUACAUGCAGUCGAACGCUUCUUUUUCCACCGGAGCUUGCUCCACCGGAAAAAGAGGAGUGGCGAACGGGUGAGUAACACGUGGGUAACCUGCCCAUCAGAAGGGGAUAACACUUGGAAACAGGUGCUAAUACCGUAUAACAAUCGAAACCGCAUGGUUUUGAUUUGAAAGGCGCUUUCGGGUGUCGCUGAUGGAUGGACCCGCGGUGCAUUAGCUAGUUGGUGAGGUAACGGCUCACCAAGGCGACGAUGCAUAGCCGACCUGAGAGGGUGAUCGGCCACAUUGGGACUGAGACACGGCCCAAACUCCUACGGGAGGCAGCAGUAGGGAAUCUUCGGCAAUGGACGAAAGUCUGACCGAGCAACGCCGCGUGAGUGAAGAAGGUUUUCGGAUCGUAAAACUCUGUUGUUAGAGAAGAACAAGGAUGAGAGUAACUGUUCAUCCCUUGACGGUAUCUAACCAGAAAGCCACGGCUAACUACGUGCCAGCAGCCGCGGUAAAAGUACAG
rnacentral:rRNA from 1 species